rnacentral:lncRNA from 1 species
AAGGAGUGAGUGGGAGUGGCCCUGGGCACAGGUCCCAACCCCCAAGCUAGGACUGACUGGAGAGGGUUUUUACAGGGAAGGACAAGUUCCCAUCCUUGGCAGGAGGGCGGGCGCCUGGAUGGAAAUCCUGUCCCCUGCUAGGCUUGCCCCACCCUCCUGGCCUUGGCCAUCUGCGCCAGGCUCCCUCAUCAACAGGUCCAGGCUGGACCUUUAACUGAAGGGAGCCCUUUGUUGAGACGGGAAACCCCUGCCUGGGGGGGGGGGGGGAGUCCUGGGGCUCCCACUGCUGCCCGCAAGAGCCUGGGCAGGUUGCCACACCCAAGCCAAUGCAGGGGCUCCAUCCAGCCACCCGCAGGUGUGCACCCCACAAGGACCAGGGUUUGUCUGCACUGCGUUCAUUAAAAUAAACUGCCCGCAGCAGUAAGGUGGUCAGGUCUUGCUGAAUGAAUGCCUGUGUAGUGCCUGGGACAAGGCAUCAUGUGGUGUUCACGUAUUUCAUGCUAUUUUUAAACCAGCGAGUCUUACACGGUGUUAGGGCCUGGGUGUGACUGUGAAUGCAGCCUGGGAGAGGCACUUCAGGGAGGGUGAGCGUGGGGCUCUCUUUCCCCGACCCACAGCAGUCUCGGUACCUCUCCGGUGCUCCCCAACCCCCCAAAACACCAAGGCAAAAGAAAAGGAAGGAGGACACUUCGAACCAGAGACAACUGAAUUAACUUUAUUCUCUUCUAACUGCAGAUUCAAGAAACACUGAAAUUACAAAGAAACGCGGCAAUCUACACAAAACGAAGGCAGAUGCGGAAAGCUGCAACUUUGAGUCAACUGCUCGGGCAGGAGAACGGCUAAGACUGGCAAGCAGACCAACUGGGGGCGGGGCGAGGAUGGCACACACAGAACUGGGAGGGCCGGGAGGCGGGACGGGGGCGGGAGAGAGAGAGUGGAGGAAGGAAAAAGAUAGAGACAGAGGUGGAGGUGCAUUUGUACAAAAAGGAACCAGUAAAAUUGAAGAAACAAAAUUGGGCAACCUCCUAAAAUUAGGCUAAGAGGAGGUGCUGAGGUAGACAAUUACUAGAACGUUGAUGAAUUAAAAACACUAUUCUGUAAUACAGAGCAAUCGGACUGGCACUUGUGCUGUCACGACGUAAGACAAGCCACAGAAACAAACAAGAAACAAAACGAAAACAAAAUACCCAGACCAAAAGGCUUAGUUUUGCUUGGUCCAGCAGGGCCGCAGGGCCCUCAGUGCUAUAAUUUACAUACAUAUAUAUAUAUUUAUCUUUAUCUAUGGGGGUCGGAUGUCAUGGUGCACCACCACGGCUUCGUAACCUCACGAGCAUCAUGCAUCACACUAUGCGAACGAACUCUAUGAUACACCCAGGAGGCAGGGACCCUGUCUGCCCCAC